rnacentral:rRNA from 1 species
ACCUGUGGCCAUACCUGUUUGUCAAUGCCAGAUUCUGUCAGAUCUUGGAAGCUAAGCGGGGUUGUGUCUGGUUACUACUUGAAUGGGACACUACUGAGAAUACCAGGUGAACACAGUGA